rnacentral:lncRNA from 13 species
CACGACCGUGAGGCUCCUUUUCUCAAAGAGAAUCUUUCUGUUUUCCUUUCCAACUCGUGACCCUCUGUGAACAGUGCCUAUGCACGGAAACAACUGCAACUUUCUGGCCGGGGCCACUCUGGUGAAACUGAAAGUCUUCCACGUGAAAGCACCUGACCAACACCACAGGUCUUUGAGCUGCUGUUUUCUAGUAGCUCCUUGGCGAUUGAGGGGAACUGGUGGGGGCUACUCUCUUGUGUUGUCUGAAGGCCAAGGAGUGAACAGGGAUGGCUGCCCUGCCUGGAAGAGGGAAAUUCUAUUUUCUAUCCUUUCCAGUUAUAGUCCCUGAUCUCUACAUGUGAUGGAGUUGGCAGCAGAAGCUCAUCCUGGACGAACUCACACACAUUUCAGGCAACUUAAGCCUUCUUUUCUUAUGCUAAAUGUUUACCUUUACCUACUCAUCUGGGUAAAGGACAGACUAGCUGUGUAAAAAAAGGUUAUACAAGUCAGAGGGUCUGGGCAUGUCGUAGGUGGUCUGUGUGGGGCAUGGGGUGUGUGUGGGGGAAACUCAUGAAAGGGAAUGUAUUAUUGCCUAAUUUAAAGGGUUACAUUUAAAGGGUUAAAGGGUUGUUUAAGUAGGAUAGAAAAGCCUUAAGGAAAGUUCAUAGACGGUGCUCAGUGGUGGAGGGAACCAUUCCAAAGCAGUGCCAGCACCCAUCUAAGGUCAGAGACAUCUGACAGACUAAAUCAGGGUCCUAAAGUGGGGAUGCCCCUGGGGACCCCAGUCUGGAUCCAGAAUUUUUUCAGGGGGAUGCCUUGAGUAAAAUUUGGGCCACCUAACGGACCCUCCACUUUUCAAAGUCCUCUUCUGUCCUUCAGACCACUAUAGGCUACUCUCUAUUCCACCUGAUUCCACUGUGAGCAAUGCUACACCCCUUCCACCAGAUGCCCUGCUUGGCUACAUCCUCCACCAUUAGAAUCAAUUUGACCCUGAAAAUCUAAAGGGAAAACACAUAAUUUUUUUCUGCAAUAUGAUUUGGCCCCAUUAUGACCUCCCCAGCCCCCAACAAUGGGCAGACAAUGGUAGCCUUAACUAUGACACCAUCCUGCUAUUAGACCUACUUUGCAAGAGGCAGGAAAAAUAGUCAGAAAUCCCAUAUGCACAGGUUUUCAUGCUCCAAUAGAAAAAAAACUAACAAUCCGCAAAACUCCCAGAACCCAACCCCCGCAAAGGAAAGUGCUAAGGCAGAACUAGAUAUUAUAGAUGACCCCCUUUUACAAGGGCCAGCUGUCUCUCAGGGUGAACAGGAACUACCCCCAUAGAGCCCCUUGCCAAGUGCUUCUGAGGUGCAAACACCAGGGACCCUACUAAAUCCCCCUCACACUCAGAGAUGAACACCAUAUUCAAUUCUCUCUCCAGCCCUGCUACCUCCUAGGAAAGUAGCAGGAGCCAAGGGGCCAGUCCUCUUACAGGCUCCUUUCUCUGUAACUCACAUACAAUGUAAGGAAAAACUAGGAAGCUAUUCCAAGCAUCCUAGGAAAUUUGCGGAUGGGUUCCAGACUUUGACCUUAGCCUUUGCUUUCUCAUGGAGAGAUGUUCGAUUCAUCCUAGCAACUUAUUACACUCCCUUAGAUAUAAGCUCCAAAAGCUACAGAUGGGCCACAAACUAAUCAAAAUCAGCUUCUUGAUAUCACCAUUAUGGUGUAUAACAAUCAUGACCUGAAGGAAGGAAAAAGGGAACAGAAUAAAGAAAAAUGGCAAGCCA